GUGGGGAAUAUUGGACAAUGGGCGAAAGCCUGAUCCAGCCAUGCCGCGUGUGUGAAGAAGGUCUUCGGAUUGUAAAGCACUUUAAGUUGGGAGGAAGGGCAGUAAGUUAAUACCUUGCUGUUUUGACGUUACCGACAGAAUAAGCACCGGCUAACUUCGUGCCAGCAGCCGCGGUAAUACGAAGGGUGCAAGCGUUAAUCGGAAUUACUGGGCGUAAAGCGCGCGUAGGUGGUUUUGUAAGUUGGAGGUGAAAUCCCCGGGCUCAACCUGGGAACUGCAUCCAAAACUGGCGAGCUAGAGUACGGUAGAGGGUGGUGGAAUUUCCUGUGUAGCGGUGAAAUGCGUAGAUAUAGGAAGGAACACCAGUGGCGAAGGCGACCACCUGGACUGAUACUGACACUGAGGUGCGAAAGCGUGGGGAGCAAACAGGAUUAGAUACCCUUGUAGUCC
rnacentral:rRNA from 1 species